GAGCGCCGUAGCAAUACGGAGCGGCAGACGGGAGAGUAACACGUGGGAACGUACCCUUCGGUUCGGAAUAACUCAGGGAAACUUGAGCUAAUACCGGAUACGUCCGUAAGGAGAAAGAUUUAUCGCCGAGGGAUCGGCCCGCGUCCGAUUAGCUAGUUGGUGGGGUAAAGGCCCACCAAGGCGACGAUCGGUAGCUGGUCUGAGAGGAUGAUCAGCCUCACUGGGACUGAGACACGGCCCAGACUCCUACGGGAGGCAGCAGUGGGGAAUAUUGGACAAUGGGCGCAAGCCUGAUCCAGUCAUGCCGCGUGGGUGAUGAAGGCCCUAGGGUUGUAAAGCCCUUUCGGCGGGGAAGAUAAUGACGGUACCCGCAGAAGAAGCCCCGGCUAACUUCGUG
rnacentral:rRNA from 1 species